rnacentral:lncRNA from 1 species
UGCUCACACAAAUGCAGACAGUCCGAAGCAGGGCUGCGUCCUGUUUAGAAGCCUUUGUGAAAAUUACGGCAUCCAUAGUUGGCAGUAAAAUAGGGGCCAGUACCUCCGAGAGAUUUGAAAGUGUGGUGUCUCCUGACACCGUCUAUUCUGAAAAUUGCCGAGACGUUUAGUUAGGAUGGGCUCUCUGCAGCAAGCAGCUCGUGUUACAACAGG